CCGCGGGUGCCAGAAAGAGCAGGACACCCGCAUUUUGGAAUUUUAGAACUGCAAGCGCCCAGAGUCAUCUGGUGCAGCCCUCCCCUUUGCAGAUGCUCUUCCUGGAAUCUCCUAAGACGAGCUUCUGGGUUCAUUCGGCCCCUUUUCCUUCUCGAAGCCCAAAGCACUUUCGCUGUGGAUGAUCUCAACAUUCCAGGCAGGUAGGGAGGUGUAGGGAGGUGUCAGCAGCCUCGCUUUUUACCGGAGGGUGGGUACCCUGACUCAGACGACGGGCCUCGUGGGGCGGGAGCGGUAACGGGAAUUCAGGGCUCCCGGCCAGAGCGAAAUUUAUUGUGUAUCCUUUUGGGAAGCGUGAAAGUGAAGUAAUCGACUUACGAGUCCCCGGCGGGACCUUUCAGCCCUUUAGAAGGGUCGGAACAGGGUCAGGAGGAUUAAUGCGGUAGAAGAGCUCGUGGCAUUGGCCCAUUGGCAACUUUACGAGGUCCAGCCGAGUCCGCCGCCCUUCGCUGGACAGGGUGACCAAUGGCCUGCGGCUUCUUUAAGGCCCCAGCGUUCCGCCCCGGCUCGGCGCGGACCUCCUCCCACCUCCUCGCCCUAGCUCCUCCAGUUCCAGACUUCCCUCGGCGAUGAGGUCAUCUCCCCGCUUCCCAUUGGCUGCUCCGGGCCGUCAGUCACAGGAAGUCCCGCCGCCGUCCUCCUCUCCCUCGCGCCCCUCCCUUCCUCGCUCGCCCCUCGGCCCGCCGGCCGGCCUGCACGCGGCCUCUGAUUGGCCAGUGCCGCUAUCACUCCUCCAGCGGGCGGCGUGGAAGGCGGGAGGCGGGUGUGGUGGGAGGGUCUGCAGCUUCCGUGGCUGAGAGGAGCCGGCGGCGACCGUGUCUGUGGUGUCCGCGGUGGCGGCGAGAACGGCCGUCCCACCUUCCCCAUCUCCUAGGCUCCGCUGGCUACACACCCUCCGCUUGUGCGGGCUUCUCCGCAGCUCCGCGCGUCUUCGCGGGACGUUGAGCCUCGUGAGGAGACGCGCGCGGUGAGAGCCGGAGCGGGGACCGCCGCGGAGCUCGGGCCGGGAGGAGAGCGAGGCGUGACCGAAGGGUGUGAUUGGCAUGGAAUUGAAUUUCUUCUGUCUGUGGGAAUUGUAAAUAAGAUGUUACAUGUUUUAUAAAUUGAAGGCAAGACCCUCCACCAGCAAAAAGAUUACGACUUGCAUUAAUGUGAUGUCUGGAAUCCUUCAUGCAAUAUCUCUGAGGGAUGCCUGUACCACUUAAAAAAAACACAGCACUGCUUUACUGAGUUUCUGUGGCUCAAGAAUCUGGGAGCAUCUUCACUGAGUGAUACUGGCUCAUGAGGUUGCAUUCAUAAAGACUGUUGGGUCUGUGGUCAUCUGAAGGCUUGACUGGGGAUGGAGGAUUUACUUCCAAGAUGGCUCACUCAUAUGGCUGUUGGCAGAGGGCCUCAAUUCCUCACUCUUUCUUGGCUGGAGGCCUCAGUUUCUUACCAGAUGGACUUCUCCAGAGGACUGGUUGUUAUAGCAACACAGCUGAUGUCCUUCUAGAGCAGUGGUUCUCAACCUGUAGUAUAUAACCUCUGAAUUCUUCAAGGAGAAUUAAGCCAUGUUUUCUCAUUUGGGAGAGUAAGGUAUUUUCCUGAAAAUGCUGAAGACAUUGCCAUUAUGAAUGUGUGUUAGUAGUGUUAAAUUUCUAAAAUUAGUAUUAGUUGAAUGGUUAGAAUGGUUUAGUAGUUUAAAAAAAUUGGUAUUAUAUUUCUUUAGUAAUUUGUGCAUCUCCUGGUUGGCAGACAUAACAUAAUUUGUGCCUGGCAUUCCAGUGACUUUUGAAUACUGCUUGUACUGUUCUUUCUUUUUCUUCUUUUUGAAGACCAAAUGGUAUUCUUUUGGCAGAUUAAUAAGAUUAUAUUUAGUAUGUAAUUAUAACUUGUUGUAGCUUGUUUCACUUGAACUUAAUUUAGGACUUCAACAAAGGGAACAUAAGUAUUCUCAGCUUCCUAGGGCAGUGAUUUUCAACAUUUUUAAAAAAAAAAAAUAUUUUAUUUUUUUACAGAGAGGAAGGGAGAGGGAUAGAGAGCUAGAAACAUCGAUCAGCUGCCUCCUACACACCUCCCACUGGGGAUGUGCCCGAAACCAAGGUACAUGCCCUUGACCGGAAUCGAACCUAUUGUUGUGUUGGCUAUUGUCUUUUUUUAAUUUGAUAGUCUAAGGCAGUGGUUGGCAAACCACGGCUCUCGAGCCACAUGCAGCUCUUUGGCCCCUUGAGUGUGGCUCUUCCACAAAAUACCACGUGCAGGCGCGCACGUACAGUGUGAUUGAAACUUCGUGGCCCAUGCGCAGAAGUCGGUUUUUGGAAAGGAGAUAGACAAGUAUACAAGACGAGUGUGGAUGGGAGAGUUGGAAGGGGUCGACCUCAGCGAACAUACCUCAGUCAGAUUGAGGGCGUUUCUAGCAAAGGCCAGCUUAGGAGUACCCUAAUUAAUAACAAUGUACCUACCUAUAUAGUUUAAGUUUAAAAAAUUUGGCUCUCAAAAGAAAUUUCAACCCUCGUACUGUUGAUAUUUGGCUCUGUUGACUAAUGAGUUAGCCGAUCACUGGUCUAAGUGAAAAGAGAUCAGUGCCCUUGACUAAACAGUCAGGUAUUGUAUGUUUAAAAAUUCUUGCAGCACACUGGUGGAAAAUUGCUGUCCUCGGGCAGGGUUUCUCAAACUAUUUUGCUGUGACCCAUAAUUGGAGACAUUUUAUAUUAGGGCCCAUAAGUAUACAGAUAUCUGAAACAAAAGUUUCAUAAAAUUAUACUUACUACAAAAGUGGUAUAAUCUGUCUGCUUUACUACUGCCCUUGGCUAAGCCACCUUCAUCUCUCUUAAAUUUCU